rnacentral:miRNA from 1 species
UAGCUCCGUUGUUGCGUCUUGGUA